rnacentral:tRNA from 1 species
GGGGGAUUAGCUCAGUUGGCUAGAGCGCUUGACUGGCAGUCAAGAGGUCACCGGUUCGACUCCGGUAUUCUCCACCA